UCUGUUGUAGUCUAGUUGGUCAGGAUACUCGGCUUUCACCUGAGAGACCUAGGUUCAAGUCUUUGCAACAAAA
rnacentral:tRNA from 1 species